rnacentral:hammerhead_ribozyme from 1 species
AUUCGACUGACGAGUCCCAUAUAAGACGAAACGCCUGUCCUGGAU